GAAGCAGGCUCAUCUUCCCCUCUAAUAGGUGGGGACACACUAUCAUUGAUGGUUGGUAAAAAAAGGUUGAAAAUUAUCAUCAAUAAUUCUCAAUUGGUGUUCUUUUCCUCCAGGUGAUGGUCUUUAAAAGAUUGUUACUUGAGAAUCACAAAACGAAUAUUCUUUUUCUUCUCUUGGCCUGAAAUAUUGAGGGUUAAGGAGGAAAAUAAUUGGUCCUCUCUUCACAUAGCCUGAUAGAAUUUUGGCUGGGAAAAUAGGAAGAUGGGAAAUAGGAAGAUGCAGUUAGAGAAAUAACUGCCAAUGCCAAUGUUUAUGCCUAUUACUGAAAAAAACAAAACAAAACAAAAACUAAAACAAAAGAACUCUCAGUUAUCUACAUGUGCAUAUAAUGUGUUUUUGAAUGAAUCACCAAAACAUUGCAAUGAUUAAUUUGAACAUCUUUGCUUUGUCAUCUGUGAUUAAGGAUUUUUUUUUCAUUAGCAAACAAACAGCUGCUUUGCCUCAGGCAUAAAUCAGAAGAGGAAAACCAGCUUCUGGACCUGGAGAGAGGAUGAAAGGGAAUAGGAAUUGAGGGAAGCGGAAGGGAAGAAUAAGGGACCCCUGGAGAGUCCCUACCAAGCCAGACAUAACAAACAAAAGUCCUCUACUACUGAGGAAGACAGAACAGGGAAGCCAGCAGGGGAAGAAAAAGAUGAUGCUGCUCUUGAUGCCUCAAAAAUGGCAAGGAAGAACCCAGGCAACUGAUGUACACACCCUUGGAACAAAUCUGCCCCAGAAGUACAAGACACACUCUUCGAAUUCAUGGAAUAAAUGGGAGCUCCUGGCCACAGUGGGAGCCAUGAUCUCUCUCCUUUACAUGUGGCUGUAUUCCCAGAGCUUUCAUUUCCAUGUGGCACAUUUUUAUGCUCAUUUUGGGUACCCCAGUUCUCGGCAUAUUGUUAGGCAAAGAUACAUGAAAGGAGCUGGUGUAGUGAAGGAUGAAGAGAAGGCAAUGCAUUGGUUUAGGGAUGUAGAAAUGCUCCUUAAUGUUGCUGCAAAACGGGGGAUCCAAGAAGCCCAAGAACUUCUGGAGAAUGUUAUUUGGACUAAAAGCAAGCUCUUGCCAACUGAAAGAACCGGGAGUUCUUAUAAACCAUAAUGUGUGCCUGCAUGCUCUUCCUGGAACAUGGGAUGUUCUGCUCUCACUUGUCCACUGUGGCCUUGCAAUGCUUUGUGGCAUUUUCAGUGGAAGCUCCUUUUACUUAUAGUCUCAUAUGCUGCUGCAGCAUUAAUUUGCUGGUUAAAAUCCUUUAAAUGAAGUGUUACUUAUAUGUUUUCCUGGGAUCUGAGUUUGAUCUCUUCUGGAUAGAGGAAUAUUUUAUUUGGGUUUCAUUACUGCUCACUUCAGCUAAAGUUUCAUUCAAGCCAGUGAGCAUUCUAUAACGUGGUAAGUGGAAAAUAACGAAGAAACCUGUCACACCAGAGAUUGGCUUCUUGGAUGUGUUAGCUGGCACUCACAGAUCCACUGAAAGAGCUAAACUCAUCAUUAGCCUAAUCUAUGACAUGUGAUGUUCUGCCUAAAAUAAGCCUAUUUUCAUUUCUCUCCAUUUCAAUUUUCUGCUCUAUUAGGUUUCUAUAGUAUUUUAUUACACUCGCUUUUUGUAUUACAGAAAGUCCUUUAUGGGGGUAAAAAGGCUGUUAUUGUUGUCAAUGAAAGGGAAAAGGAUAAAGUAUAAGACCUAACAAUUAUUGACCAUCUGCCACAUGCAAGAUAUUUUCUUAGCUGUUUAACAUAUAUAUAUAUAUAUAUAUAUAUAUAUAUAUAUAUAUAUAUAUAUAUAUAUUUGAGACUGAGUUUCGCUCUUGUUGCUCAGGCUGGAGUACAAUGGCAUGAUCUCUACUCACUGCAACCUCAGCCUCUCAGGUUCAGGAUGUUAUCCUGCCUCAGCCUCCUGAGUAGCUGGGAUUACAUGCAUGCACCAUCACAUCCGGCUAGUUUUUUCAUUUUUAGUAGAGACGGGGUUUCACCAUGUUGGUCAGGCUGGUCUUGAACUUCUGGCCUCAGGUGAUCUACCUGCCCUGCCCUCCCAAAAUGCUGGGAUUACAGGAGUGAGCCACCACGUCUGGCCUGCUUAACAAAUAUUUUAACAUUCACUAGUUAUAAAAGUCUUAUAAGGUGGAUCUUAUAACUCCUAUUUUACAGAGUGAAAACAGGUGUAGAGAAGUUGUGAUAUGUGCAAAGUCACAGAGUGAGUGAUAGAGUGGGGUUUUUAGUGCUGGCAGUCUGAUUCUAGAGUCAACAUUCUUAACCAGUUCUACCAACAUUACUCUCCCAAGUCAUUAACAUCUCUUUCCUAACAACAAAGAUGUUCUAAGAACAGAUAACUGGGUUUAUUACUGGCAUAUGGUGAACACUUAUCUUAGCAAAUAACUCAGCCCCAUUUUCUGACUAUGAUUUUUUUAAGGACAAACCACGUAGUCCUAUUCUUCAAAAGUGGUGUUUUUAACCUUAAUUAUAAUUAGCUGUAUUUAUCUCAUUUAGAUUAUAGCACAAUUUUCUCCUUGGAAUAUACAUGCAGAAACACAAAAUGAGGGUGACAAAAGUGUCAAACUGGAAUUCAAUAUGAUGAUUAAGCUGUGUUUAAAAUAUUUGUUUCCCUUUUGAUUGCCUUGUUUACACUGUAUACAUAUGGAAUAUGACUGUAAGCCUUCAGCAAUCUUCUCUUUGUCCAACGUGAACACAUAAACCUUUAAAGAUGUACAUGAAAUGGUCACAUGCAAUUUUAAAUUCUUUAAUGUAGAAAAUCCCAAAUUCAUAAACUAAAUUCUUCACGUGAACCUUUGGUAAUAGUAUUUUUAUCUUCUCUAGAAGCACUUUAUUUUUCUUACAUUUUUCCCAGAGAAACCAGUCUUCAUUUCAGUUUAUGUUGUUCAAGAUACAACUCUGGAAAUUUUAUUCUGUGCCACAAACACUUAUAAAAUACUAGGACAAUAAUUUCAAUCAUCGUGUUAGUGUGCAUUUUUUUAACCUUCACAGUAAUAUCCCCUUAACUGUCUUGUAAUUU
rnacentral:lncRNA from 1 species